ACUCAAAGGAAUAGACGGGGGCCCGCACAAGCAGCGGAGCGUGUGGUUUAAUUCGAUGCUACGCGAAGAACCUCACCCAGGCUUGAAAUGCAUGUGGUAGGAAAGGGAAACCGGCCCGACCCUUCGGGGAGCAUGCACAGGUGUUGCACGGCCGUCGUCAGCUCGUGCCGUGAGGUGUUGGGUUAAGUCCCGCAACGAGCGCAACCCCUGUCGCCAGUUGUAUUUUUCUGGCGAGACUGCCGAGAAAACCUCGGAGGAAGGAGGGGACGAUGUCAGGUCAGCGUGGCCCUUACGCCUGGGGCUACACACACGCUACAAUGGGUGGUACAAAGGGUCGCCAAGCCGCGAGGCGGAGCUAAUCCCAUCAAAACCAUCCUCAGUUCGGAUUGCAGGCUGAAACUCGCCUGCAUGAAGCCGGAGUUGCUAGUAACCGCAGGUCAGCAUUACUGCGGUGAAUACGUUCCCGGGCCUUGUACACACCGCCCGU
rnacentral:rRNA from 1 species